CGAUCAUUUUACAUUAUUCCAGCAAUUUGUAUUACAACUCGAACUCGUACACUAAAUUAUUUCGAACACCUUUUUGGAAUCCUCAAAAUUCUCACUGCCAUUUCGGGUAUGGAUCGUCUCCUAACCUUACUUGUGGGCGGAAUUGUGGGCUACAUCGUUGGCAAAAAGUUUUAAAGUUCAUUUUUGACCACCAACUAUGGAGAGCUCUUGGCUGUUGACUUUCAUCGUUGGCUGCAUUGUUGGCUAUUUGAUUGGCCAGAAUUAUUGAGAGAAAGCAUGAGCUGUGCGCCUUGGUACACCUCGAAGGUAUCAAAAUUGAAAGUCAAGAACCGAGCAAAUAUCUCCACUGCCUCCCGAUCCAUUAAGCAAAAUGACGCACGUCAUCUCCUUUGCCCUGGGCAUAGUAAUUGGCUUGAUGCUCUGCAAGCGAUGUUGACACGCAUUCAAAGCUGCCCUGAAAUGGCCUCAAAAUUGGAUACUAAACUAAAUUAAUAAAGCAGAACGUACAAAUAAAGAUAGAACAAAUACA